AUUUUGGCGUGUCUGGCAGCUGGUUCCGGCAAGUCGAGCAGUUGGUUCAGGCAUGCUCGGCAGGUGCUUCCUGCGUCUCCGGCACGUGGUUCUGGUACGUCUGAGAGGUGUUUCCGGCAUGCCCAGCAGGUGAUCCCGGAGUGUCCGCCACGUGGUUCUGGCACAUCUGAGAGGUGGUUCCGGCAUGCCCGGCAGGUGAUCCCGGAAAGUCCUCCAAGUGGUUCUGGCUUAGCCGGCAGGUGAUUUUGGUGUGUCCGGCAGGUGGUUCCAGCGAGUCAAGCAGGUGGUUGCGGAGUGCUCGGCAGGUGGUUCCGCUCUGUCUGGGAGGUUGUUCUGGCGUGGCCGGGACGUGCUUCCGGCACGUCUCAGAGGUGGUUCCAGCAUGCCUGGCGGGUGAUUCCGGACUGUCCCCCACGUGGUUCUAGCACUUCUGAGAGUUGGCUCCAGCAUGCCCGGCAGGUGAUCCCAGAGAGUCCUCCAAGUGAUUCUGGCAUAGCCGGCAGGUGAUUUUGCCUUGUCCAGCAGGUGGUUCAGGCAGGUCCGGAAGGUGGUUCCGGUCAGUCUGGGAGGUAGUUCUCGCGUGUCCGGCACUUGGUUCCAGCCCGUCUGAGAGGUGGUUGUGGCAUGCCAGCCAGGUGAUACCAGAGAGUCCGACAAGUGGUUCUGGCAUAGCCGGCAGGUGAUUUUGGUGUGUCCGGUAGGUGGUUCUGGUGAGUCGAGCAGGUGGUUCCGGCGUGCUCGGCUGGUGGUUCAGGCGGGUCCGGCAGGUAGUUCCGGUCUGUCCGGUUGGUGGUUCCGGCGUGUCCAGCACCUGGUUUUGGCGCGUCUCAGCAGUGGUUCUGGCAUGCCCGGCAGGUGAUUCCAGAGAGUCCAGCAAGUGGUUCUGGCAUAGCCGGCAUGUGAUUUGGGCGUGUCCGGAAGCUGCUUCCAGCGAGUCGAGCAGGUGGUUCCCGCGUGCUCGGCUGGUGCUCCUGGUGUCUUUGGCAGGUGGUGCUGGCAUGUCUGACAGGUGGUUCCAGCACGCCCAGCAGGUGAUUCCAGUGUGUCUGCCAAGUGGUUCUGGCAUAGCCAGCAGGAGAUUUUGCGUGUCCAGCUGUGGUUCCGGCCAGUCGAGCAGGUGGUUCCGGCAUUUCCGGCAGGUGGUUCCGGUCGGUCUGGGAGGUGGUUCCGGGGUGUCCGGCACGUGCAUCUGGCACAUCUGAGAGGUGGUUCCAGCAUGCCGAGCAGGUGAUUCCAGAUUGUCCACAAAUGGUUCUGGCGUAACCGGCAGGUGAUUUUGCAUGUCUGGCAGGUGGUGCUGGCGAGUCAAGCAGGUAGUUUGGGCAAGCUCUGCAGGUGCUUCUGGCGUCUCCAGCAUGUGGUUCUGGUACGUCUGAGAAGUGGUUCUGGCAUGCCCAGCACGUGAUUCUGGAUUGUCCAUUAAGUGGUUCUGGCAUAGCCGGCAGGUAUUUUGGCGUGUAAGGCAGGUGGGUCCUGCAAGUCAACAGGUGGUUUCGGCAUGCUCGGCAGCUGGUUCAGGCGCGUCCGGCAGGUGGUUCUGUUCUGUCCUGUAGGUGGUUCCGGCGUGUCCAGCACGUGGGUCUGGCAUGUCUGAGAGGUGGUUCCCGCAUGCCUGACAGGUGAUUCCGGAGUGUGCGCUAAGUGGUUCUGGCGUAGCCAACAGGUGAUUUUGGGGUGUCCGGCAGGUGGUUCUGUGGAGUGCAUCAGGUACUUCCAGCAUUCUCGGCAGGUGCUUCCAGCGACUCCAGCACGUGUUUCUAGCACGUCUGAGAGAUGGUUCCGGCAUGCCCAGCAAGUGAUUCUGGAGUGUCCGGCAAGUGGUUCUGGCACAGCCGGCAUGUGAUUUUGGCAUGUCCGGUAAGUGGGUCCUGCGAGUUGAGCAGGUGGUGCCUGCAUGCUCGACAGAUGGUUCAGGCGUGUCCGGCAGGUGCUUCCAGUCUGUCCAGGACGUAGUUCCGGUGUGUCUGGCACGUGGUUCUGGUAAGUCUCAGAGGUGGUUCCGGCAUGCCCGGCAGGUGAUCCAGGAGACUGCUCUAAGUGAUUCUGGCAUAGCCGGCAGGUAAUUUUGGCAUGUCCGGUAUGAGGUUGCGGCGGGCUCUGCAGGUGGUUCAGGCAGGUCCGGCCGGUGGUUCCGUUCUGUCUGGGAGGUGGUUCCGGCGUGUCCGGCACUGGGUUCCGGCACGUCUGAGAGGUGGUUCCAGCAUGCCCGCCAGGUGAUUCCGUAUUGUCCACCAAGUGGUUCUGGUGUAGCCGGCAGGUCACUUUGGCAUGUCCGGCAGGUGGCUCCAGCGAGUCGAGCAUGUGGUUUGUGCGAGCUCGGCAGGUGCUUCCGGCCUAUCCUCCACGUGGUUCUGGCACGUCUGAGAGGUGGUUCUGACAUGCCCGGCACGUGAUUCUGGAUUGUCCACUAAGUGGUUCUGGUGUAGCCGGCAGGUGAUUUUAGCGUGUCUGGCAGGUGGUUCCGGCAUAUUGGGAAGGUGGUUCCGGCGAGCUCGGCAGGUGCUUCUGGCGUCUCUGACACGUGGUUCUGGCAGGUUUGAGAGGUGGUUCUGGCAUGCCCGACAGGUGAUUCUGGAGUGUCAGACUAGUGGUUCUGGCGCAGCCGGCAGGUGAUUUUGGCGUGUCCCGUAGAUGGGUCCUGCAAGUCGAGCAGGUGGUUCCGGCGUCCUCGGUAGGUGGUUCAGGCAGGUCCGGCAAGUGGUUCCAGUCUGUCCGGGAGGUGGCUCCGGCGUGUCCAGCACGUGGUCCUGGCACGUCUGAGAGGUGGUUCCAGCAUGCCAGGAGAGUGAUUCCGGAAUGGCUACCAAGUGGUUCUGGUGCGCCGGCGGGUGAUCUUGGUGUGUCUGGAAGGUGGUUCCCGUGAGUCGAGCAGGUGGGUCUGGCAUGCUCGGCAAUUGUUUCCUGACUGUCCUGUAGGUGGUUUCGGCGUGUCCAGCACGUGGUCCUGGCACGUCUGAGAGGUGGUUCCGGCAUGCCAGGCAGGUGAUUCUGGAGUGUCCGCCAAGUGGUGUUGGCAUAGCCAGCAGGUGAUUUGGGCGUGUCCGGCAAGUGGGUCCUGCAAGUCGAGCAGGUGGUUCCAGCGUACUCGGCAGGUGCUUCCAGCGACUCCAGCACGUGUUUCUGGCACGUGUGAGAGGUGGUUCCGGCAUUCCCGUCAGGUGAUUCCUGAUUGUCCACCAAGUGGUUCUUGCGUAGCCGGCAGGUGAUUUUGGCGUGUCCGGCAGGUGGUUCUGGGGAUCAGGUGGUUCCGGCAUGAUCUGCACGUGCUUCCAGCGUCUCCGGCUUGUGCUUCUGCCACGUCUGAGAGGUGGUUCCGGCAUGCCCGGCAGGUGAUUCUGGAGCGUCCAACAAGUGGUUCUGGCGUAGCCGGCUGGUGAUUUGGGCAUGUCUGGCAGGUGUUUCGGCAGGUCGAGCAUGUGGUUCCAGCAUGCUCGGCAGGUGGUUUAGGCGUGUCGGGCUGGUGGUUCCGGCGAGUCGAGCAGGUGGUUUGGCGUGCUCGGCAGGUGGUUCCGGUGUGUCCGGGAGGUGGUUCCUGCGUGUCUGGCACAUGGUUCAGGCACGUCUUAGAUGCGGUUCCGACGCACCCGGCAUAUGAUUCCGGAGUGUCCGCCAAGUGGUUCUGGCAUAGCUGGAAGGUGAUUUUGGCAUGUCCGGCAGGUGGUUCCGGCGAGUCGACCUGGUGGUUCCGGCAUGCUUGGCAGGUGCUUCUGGCAUCUCCGGCACGUGUUUCUGGCACGUCUGAGAGGUGGUUCCGGCAUGCACAGCGGGUGAUUCCGGAUUGUCCACCUAGUGGUUCUGGCGUAGCCAGCAGGUGAUUUUGGCGUUUCUGGCAAGUGCUUCCAGCGAGUUGAGCAAGUGGUUCCGGCAAGCUCGGCAGGUGGUUCACUUGUGUCUGGCAGGUGGUUCCAGUCUACCCAGGACGUGGUUCUGGCGUGUCCGGCACGUGGUGCUGGUACGUCUGAGAGGUGGGUCCAGCAUGCCCAGCAGGUGAUUCUGGAGUCUCAGCCAAGUGGUUCUGGCGUAGCCGGCAG
rnacentral:lncRNA from 1 species